rnacentral:rRNA from 1 species
UAAGCGGAGGAAAAGAAACCAACUGGGAUUACCUUAGUAACGGCGAGUGAAGCGGUAAAAGCUCAAAUUUGAAAUCUGGUACUUUCAGUGCCCGAGUUGUAAUUUGUAGAAUUUGUCUUUGAUUAGGUCCUUGUCUAUGUUCCUUGGAACAGGACGUCAUAGAGGGUGAGAAUCCCGUUUGGCGAGGAUACCUUUUCUCUGUAAGACUUUUUCGAAGAGUCGAGUUGUUUGGGAAUGCAGCUCAAAGUGGGUGGUAAAUUCCAUCUAAAGCUAAAUAUUGGCGAGAGACCGAUAGCGAACAAGUACAGUGAUGGAAAGAUGAAAAGAACUUUGAAAAGAGAGUGAAAAAGUACGUGAAAUUGUUGAAAGGGAAGGGCAUUUGAUCAGACAUGGUGUUUUUUGCAUGCACUCGCCUCUCGUGGGCUUGGGCCUCUCAAAAAUUUCACUGGGCCAACAUCAAUUCUGGCAGCAGGAUAAAUCAUUAAGAACGUAGCUACUUCGGUAGUGUUAUAGCUUUUUGGAAUACUGCUAGCUGGGAUUGAGGACUGCGCUUCGGCAAGGAUGUUGGCAUAAUGGUUAAAUGCCGCCCGUCUUGAAACACGGACCAAGGAGUCUAACGUCUAUGCGAGUGUUUGGGUGUAAAACCCGUACGCGUAAUGAAAGUGAACGUAGGU